GAUUUUGGCACUGCAUCUGCAUGGUAACAAUAAUUAUUGUAUUCUCUUGUUCUUAAUCAGAUGUUGCUUAGUUUUUAUUCUUUCAGAUUUUAAAGAUUUUAUAAAUGUCUUGGUAAUUGCCCUUCAUAAUAAUAGCAACUUUUUCUCCCAUAAUGUUUUUUAAGUAGAGAACCUAAUUCUUAAUUUCUUAUGCACAUAUCAAGUUGACAGGCG
rnacentral:misc_RNA from 1 species